rnacentral:rRNA from 1 species
AGCUCCAGUAGCGUAUAUUAAAGUUGUUGCAGUUAAAAAGCUCGUAGUUGAAGUUCUGUACGGAUUGAGUCUCCACGGAGACACAAGCCGUACAUCCGUCUGAUUCUUCAGACACUUUACCUUGAGCAAAUUAGAGUGUUCCAGGCAGGCGCAGCCUGAAUAGUCCAGCAUGGAAUAAUAGAAAAGGACGAAGAGCCACU